CAUGUCUUUUUGUUAAUGAUUUAAAGUCUGGCCUGCUCAAUGAUGUUUAAAUUGCCGCAGUAUUUUGACUGUGCAAAGGUAGCAUAAUAAUUAGUUUCUUGAUUAGGGGCUUGAAUGAAAGGUUGAACAAGAAAAUUUCUGUCUCUAUCUUAUUUUUAUUGAAUUUUAUUUUUAAGUUAAAAAGCUUAAAUUUUUUUAAAAGACGAGAAGACCCUAUAGAGUUUAAUAAUUUGAUUUAGAUUAAUAUUUAGAAAUUUAAUUUUUUUAGAUUAUUUGAUUGGGGUGAUUCAUUAAUUUAUUAAAUUUAUUGAUUUUUUAUAAUUGUUGAUUUUUAAAUUUUAAAUUUGUGAUCUCAAGUUUAAAUUAAAUUACCUUAGGGAUAACAGCGUAAUUUUUCUUAAAAGUUCUUAUUAAAAGAAGAGUUUGCGACCUCGAUGUUGGAUUAAAAUAAAUUUUUGGUGCAGUAGCUUAUGGAUUAGGUCUGUUCGACCUUUAAAAUUUUACAUGAUCUGAGUUUAGACCGGCGUGAGCCAGGUUAGAUUCUAUCUUUAGGAUUUUUAUAAUAUUUUAGUACGAAAGGACCAAUUAUUGAUUAGAUUAAUUG
rnacentral:rRNA from 1 species